rnacentral:miRNA from 1 species
AUCAGAUUGUUUUGUUGUAGGAUG